GAGAAUGCAUUGGUCAGCUUUCUGCGGGCCAACAAGGAUAUAUUCGCUUGGGAACCCAAACACCUGGCUGGGGUUCCAAGGGGAAUAAUCGAGCACCACCUGAGGGUAUGCCCGAGUGUGCGACCGGUGAAGCAGAAGGCUCGUCGCCAGUCCACCGAGAAGCAAGCCUUUAUCGUCCAAGAAACCCGCAAGCUACAUGUCGCGGGGGUCAUCAGAGAGGUACGAUACCCGGAGUGGCUGGCAAACCCCGUCAUCAUCCCCAAGAAAGGAGGGAAGGAGGGCAUGUGUGUCGACUUCACCAACCUCAACAAGGCCUGCCCGCAGGAUCCCUUCUCGCUCCCUCGCAUUGACUAGAUCAUGGACUCCACCGCCGAAUGCAACCUGGUGUGCUUCUUGGAUGCCUUCUCAGGCUACCAUCAGAUCAAGAUGGUCGUGCAAGAUGUGGAGGAAACGACAUUCCUGACCCCCUGCGGGGUGUACUGCUACACCUGCAUGCCCUUCGGUCUACGCAACGUCGGGCGACCUUCCAACGACUAAUGCAUAUCACCCUGGACUCGCAGCUCGGGAGGAAUGCAGAGGCCUAUGCUGAUGAUAUAGUGGUGAAGUCUCGGGAGGUCGGGACCCUGAUAGUAGAUCUGGAGGAGACGUUUGCUAGCCUGCGCAAGGUGGAUCUUCGGCUUAACCCCGAGAAGUGUGUGUUCGGGGUGCCCUCAAGCAAGCUGCUGGGCUUCUUGGUGUCACACAGAGGGAUCGAGGCCAACCCAGAAAAAGUCAAGGCGAUAGAGGACAUGAGCCCCCCAUAGACCCUGAAGGAAAUGCAGAAGCUGGCGGGCUGCAUAACCUCGCUUGGGUGUUUCAUUUCCAGGCUGGGGGAGCGCGCCCUACCAUUCUUCAACAUGAUGAAAAUGAAGGAGCUGUUAGUGGACCCCGGAGGUGGACGCAGCCUUUCAAGACCUCGACCAGUCAGCCAGUGAUGGUGGCACCGCACCCUCUAGAGCCCCUGGUGCUCUAUCUGGCAGCCACCCCCACUCAGCCAGCGCUGCCCUGGUAGCACUAAGGAGGGAACACUUGUCCAAGAAAACUCGGCAGGAUGCACAACCAUUAAGAAAGGCACAACACACUCAAGAUGAUGCAUUUGGGGCCUCGACCGACCCGGUGGUCGACAUUCCUCUUGAGGCCGUGAUCGACCCCGCAGCCACCGAGGCUCCCAAGGGCGGACCUCAUGAAGCCAUGGAGGACCCGUGCCCCCAUGAAGAAUAAGACUCCGCUGAUGCCUCCCCCUCGUCGAGCACCCUAUCUACUUUGUUAGCACGGUACUGAGGGAGGCCCGGGCAUGCUACCCCAUGCCUCAGAAACUCCUGCUCACGCUCCUGGUCGCCUCUUGGAAACCGUGCCACUACUUUCAAGGCCACCCCAUCAAGGUUGUUUUGGCGUAUCCUCUGGAGAGGGUGCUCUGGAUCCCGAAUGCCGCCGGACGGGUUGCCGAAUGGAACAUCGAGCUUCAGGCGUUCAACCUCGAGUUCGGCACCACCAGGGUCAUCAAGGGUGCGGCUCUUGCGGACUUUGUGGCCGAGUGGACCGAUGCUCCCGACCAUGGAGUAGGCGAGGAUCGCUCCCUCCUACCAGGAGAUGAAGAACCGGAUGGAUGGAUCAUGUACUUUGAUGGGGAGUUUGCACAACAAGGCGCGGGAGCAGGGGCCGUCCUCAUCUCACCCACCAAGGACAAGCUCUACUAUGCGGUGCAACUCUGCUUCCAGCAGGGCGAGAAAGUCUCCAACAACAUUGUGGAAUUUGAAGGCUUGCCCGCCGGGCUCAGGGCCGCGGCAGCGCUGGGGGUGAAGCGCCUAACCAUCAAGGGCGACUCUCAGCUCCUCGUCAACUUCUCCAACAAGGAGUACAUGCCCAAGGAUGAGCACAUGGAGGCGUACCUAGAAGAGGUUUGCAGGAUGGAGAAGUGGUUCAUGGGUGUGGAUCUGCAACACAUGCCACGCGGAACCAACAAGGAAGUGGAUGACAUCACCAAGAGAGCCUACCACAGGCGCCGUCGGGUGCCGGGGGUGUUCGAGGAGCGGCUCUUCAAACCAUCUGCGACUCCCGCGCCACGACUCCAGCAACACCUCAGGAGGACCUGCCUCAGGCACCCCAGACGGGCGCCCCAGCUUGUGGCCACCCCUCGGGGGCCCGCCAGCUGCUUGCGCUCGAGCCUCGGGAGGGGUGUUGGACCGAAGAGUCCAAGGCGUACCUGCUUCAAGGGACCCUUCCAGAGAAGGAGGAGGAGGCUGAGUGUGUGGCCCGUCAGGCUACCGCAUAAUGCAUCCAAGAUGGUGAGGUAUAUCGCAAGAGGCCCAAUGACGUUUCGUUGCGGUGCAUCUCCAGGGAGCAGGGGCUCGAGCUGCUAGGGGACAUACAUGGUGGGGACUGCGGGCAUCAUUCUUCAUCACGCACUUUGGUGGUCACGGCGUUCUGCAUCGGCUUCUACUGGCCUACCGCGCUCAACGACACCGCAGAGCUGGUGCGUUCCUGCGAAGCAUGCCAGUUCCACGCCAAGCAGAUCCAUCAACCCGCGCAGGGCCUCCAAACGAUCCCGCUCACGUGGCCGUUCACGGUCUGGGGGCUGGAUAUCUUGGGGCCGUUCCCUCGAGCGUCGAGGGGCUAUCAAUACCUCUACGUCGCCAUCGACAAGUUCACCAAGUGGGCGGAGGUAGAAGCCAUGCGCACUAUCCCAGCUAGAUCAGCCAUCAAGUUCAUCAAGGGAAUCAUGAGCCAGUUUGGGGUCCCCAACCGCAUCAUCACCGACAAUGGCUUGCAGUUCACCAGCAACCUUUUCAAAACAUAUUGUGCUAACCUUGGAACUCAGAUAUGCUACGCCUCGGUGGCACACCCAUGGAGCAAAGGCGAGGCCGAACGGGCCAAUGCAGAAGUCUUGAGGGGGCUCAAGACCAGGACCUUCAAGAAGAAGCUCGAGGCCUACGGCUGGCUCGACGAGCUGCAGUCCGUGCCAUGGUCCAUCCGCACCACCAUGACAAAGACGACAGGGGAGACGUCGUUCUUCCUCGUCUACGGAGCAGAAGCGGUUCUCCCUCACGAGGUUAAGCAUCACACCAUGCGGGUCCUGGCGUUCGACGAGGCAUGCCAAGACACCACGUGGGGGAUGGAUCUCGUGCUGGGAAAGGAAAUCCGCCGACAAGCCUUGCUCCGGGCGGCAAGGUACCAGCAGGCGCUGUGGCGGUACCACUGCCGCAGCGUCCUCCCCAAAACGUUAGAGGUGGGCGAUCUCGUCCUGAGGCGGGUGCUCUCUAGGGAGGGGCUGCACAAGCUCUCUCCCAUGUGGGAGGGCCCAUUUAGGAUUGCCCAUGAUUCCAGGUCUGCCGCCACGCGCCCGGAGACACAUGACGAGGUCCCCAUCCAGAACGCCUGGAACAUCUAGCACCUCCGGAAGUUCUACCCCUAAAGAAAGGCUCCGUCCUGUGAAGCAAGGCUCCGACCUGUGAAGGUCUCCGCUCGUGACACUCUCACGUAAUAAUGAGUGGGGUUGUUGGUGCCCCGGAGUCUCCUGAGAGUCGCCCUGGGGCCUCAUGGGGGUUCCCUCCCAUGUCUUAGUAGCAGCACUUAGCUCCGUGCUGGUGAGAAGACUAGUUCAGGUGCCGGACGCGGCUGUUCAUUUGCUUUCCGAAGUUGCUUGCAAUUUUUUAGUAACCUUUCAAUGGAUUUGGUAUUUUCAAACUCUGGUCCCUCGAGCUAUUUUCUUCCUGAGCUGUUUUCUGCCUGAGGGCGUGAAGGAGGUGGCAGUCGCCCGCCGCUUCCUAUCGCGCUCCUCACGCGUGGGGCUAGGUAGGUGUGUGCGCCACAUGCUUACCCUUGCACGCACGCACUGCGCCGAACCCUGGUGUUUUGGUCUCAUCCUCACGAGGAGCCCUCGGUCAAGCUCACGGACACCUGCACCCCUCAUGUCUGUGCCUCCCGGGCAGCGCGACGCGGUGCGCCAAGUCUGAGCUAAUCUAUAGCAGGGGGCCCACAUAAGAAGGAGUGAGCCGCUCGACAGUCUUUUCUUUUCCUUUGAGAGCAGCCCUGCAGCGGCUCCGCGGCAGCACUUGAGACCCCACAGCUCCUCGGGAAGGGGGCCUCAUCGAGUACCUGAGGCCAAGUCCUCGCGAGGCGGAAAACUACUACACACAUACCAAGCUAAGUUAUCCUACCCUUGCUUACCCAGAGCACAAACAUUAUGACACAUCAAUAAGAUAACAAGCAUAACAUAAAAGGCAUAACUGCCAUAGUUCAUUACACACCCUAGCAGGGUACACCAUCUUUUCCUCGAAUUAUAGGAGAAAGGAAAAACUAAACAAAGAAGGCCCGAAGGCAUACAAUCUCGGCACCAACACCGCAUCCUCAAGCAGCGCCUCAAGGUGUCGGUCCUAAGUCCAAGUUUGCUGGCCCCCAGCCUCACGCCGGGCUCCUCUCUAGCUUCACUGGGGCGCCACGGCGGGAUGAACCGCCGGCAUCCUUGACACGAGCACAAUGAUGCGGAGGCCGGUCUUAGCCACCACUGCUCGAGCUGUCAUCCGAGGAAGAGUUGCCGUCGUGGGAGGAGGAGCACGCGCCGCCAAGACCAAGCUCGCCAUCGCCACCUUCAUCGUCGUUGCCAUCCUCCAGGCAGCACCCCACACGGCGGCCGUCCUCCCUGAACACCUACACGUAGAGGGUCGCGAGGCUGUCGUACUUGAAGUGAAGAGUGCACCUUCCGCCCAGGCCUCACGCGCGGGCAAAGUUCUGCCAGCCAUGGGUCAGGACCAUGUUACCAGAGGUGGUGACCUCGGCCCCGACCCACCAAGCUCUGCUACAGCACCUGUCAGCCUGCAGCCAGAGGCCAUCAAGCCCCGAAGAAGGAAGCUCACUGGAGAAGAAGCGCGGAAGUCGAAGCGAGGUGCUGGUCGGGCUCUCCGACCACACCACGAAUUCAGGGAGCACGUCCAAUGAGGAGAAGCACGGCCGAGUCGGGCGCACGAUCAUGGCGCACCUCCCUUCGUCAUGGGGGCUGCUCCGAAGGCGGUGGCCCCCGCCGCGGGAAGAGGUGCCAUCGCGGGCGCCAAGAGCAACGCCGCCUCUAGGGGUUGCACGCCCGCGCCCCCUAGAAGCCACCGCAGGAUCCACAGGGUGCUUGCGGGGACGGCCACGGCCCCUCUUAGGAGGCGGAGAGGCUGGACCCUCCUUGGAAGCCUUCCCCUUCUCGGCUGCUGAAAACCUCCUCGGUGACGCCAUGGGAGAAGGAUGGAGAAGAGAGAAGCGGGCGAGAGCAAGACGAAGGAGAGAUGGGCAAGGGGCUCUGCCCCUCCCUCGCAUUUAUAGCCAAGGGAAGCCAACCGCCGGCCUCCACGACCUCGUGCCAUCAUGGCCAUCUGCAUGCCGCAUCAUCCCGUCAAGUCGAACAGUUGCCGAGGCAGCGUGGGGAAGCGGAGUUGCCCACGUCCCAUCAAUCGCCAUGUGUCAUCAAGGCCACAUGCGGUAAGGUACCGCGAUGUUCUGUACUUGCCCUUUGGCAUCGUCUGGAAGAGAAGUUCGAGCGCGCCUUGGGCCCGGGGGCUACUGUCGGCGUCCUGGAUAUGUGGUUAUCUGGCCCUGCCUGCCUAUGGCCCACCACGUGGCUCCAUCGACAGCAUGGUACGGCCCAGCUUCAGCAUCAACAACUCAAGACCCUCGCGAGGGACCAAGCCUCACGAGGCGGACAACGCCAAGACCCCCGAGGGGAUCGGCCUCCUCAGGCUGGCUCCCGAGGGGCGGAGUGUUCUAUGCAAGGUUUACCUCACGAGGCUCAGUUGACAUGAGCCAUGACGACCAAGGCCAGGCGGGCGCCAGGCGGAUGCAGAGCGCAGGUUUCCUCUUUGGUGCAAGGGGGGCAGGCCACAGGCGCGGAGUCUCGAGGAAUCAUCCAAAUGUUUCCAUUCUAGUGCAACAAGACCAAGACUGCCAGGACGGCACGACGGAGGUCAUCGACGAGCCCACCGCAGUGUCAUGACCAGAGGCUUUUUGCCGGUGAAGACUACUUUUGUCAGGAUAAGCUGUAUUAUCCCCUUUCAAAUUCGAUCGUUGUGGGAUCCCUUCCUGCCAACAUUUGGGAAGAGGACCAAGACCACUAUAAAUAGGGCUAGCCACCACCAUAGAGGGGGACAGAUUGAUCUGAUUCACAUCCACACCAGCUCCCUCGAUCUCAAGAACACCUCACCUCCUGAGGCUAGUUCAUCCAUUGUACUAGUUCAUCCUCAGCCUACAAGGCAAUCCACCACACCACACUGGAUUAGGGUAUUACACCACAACGGUGGCCUGAACCAGUAUAAAUUAUUGUGUCUCUUUUUCUAUUUGAGCUUCACGUGCUAGGCUUAGGAGGAUCGCGAGUAGGCAGGCUGGGUAGGUUGAAAUCUCCACACGCACCCCAGAGUUCAAACCUCUCAAGGGUUUAUGGAACCCGUAAUCCGACAUUUCCUUCAAAGGUGAUGAAGUUGCCUAUUCCAUCUCAAUCUCUUCAUCAAUCUUUUCUUCAGCAGCAUUUUGCUUGGGCACAACGUUCACGUCAUCAGGAUUAACAAGCACUAUUGUAGGAUGCUGCUAAUGCGACACUAUGAUAAGAGAACCUUCGACGAAACUGUGAAUGAUGCAAUAAUCGCAAAUGGUGUUGUAAAAAAACCAUCAAAAAGGUGCAAAACAUUUGCAAUGAUGGAUGCAUCAAACACGGUUCAGAUUUUUGUUGUGUGUGCGAUUUAGGGCAUACGAUUCAGUUCAAUUAACUGUUUGCGAUGAUGAGGAGCAAAAGAAACAGGCUGCCAGAUGAAGGCGUGUGCGAUGUAGAGCAUACGGUUCACUCGGAUGAACUGUUUGUGAUGAGGCGGAACAACAGAAAUGGGCAGCCAGAUGAAGGUGUGUGCGAUAUACGGCAUACAAUUCACUUGGAUGAACUGUUUGCGUUGAGCCAAGAGAACAGAAACGGUCCAACUUAACAAGAUGUAUGUGAUACGCGGCAAAUAGGUCUAUAAUCAGAAACGUGUGGGAAGACCGAUAACAACACAGAUGAUUCCUGUUAACAAGCCGUGUGUGUUGUGAGCAAACGAUUGCUGGUAUACAAUUGUCAGUGAUUGAUGAAAUCAUCACCGACGGGUUCCCUUGUUUAGUCUGUGUGCGAUGUGAUUUGCACUGUCUGCAGAGCAUCAACGUAUAUACUUAAAAAGACAGCAUUACAUAACCAAAUUAAGCAUACAAUUACAUAAGUGACUACACACAUAACAUUUUCACACACCAAAGUAAGCAAUUACAUGCAUACUAAACUAGGAGAAACGAGGAUCUAAUCAUCUACUUCUUGUUGUGACGAUGCUUGCCAUUGCUCUGCUUCUGGCUGCAUCCCUAGCCGUUUUGGGGAAGGAGGCACUUCCUCAUGUCAACGAUCCGCCUGUACAUGUCGUAGCACAUGUAUGCCUCCUUGGCCACGUACACGACGUGAGCUUUGUCGAGUUUCUCCAUACAGGCUGAGUGCCAGGCAUGCUUGUCAUGGUUGCAAGAAUCCUUCAUGUCUCUAUAGUAGGGGUCGAUGAUGGCAUCGGCGAGGUGAACUAGUGAGUCCUUCUCAUGCUCCUUGUUGCCCCAGAUCUUGUAUUGGCCCUGGAUGUCGACAAGAUGCUGGCAGGCGAUGCCCGAAUUCUUGAGCACCAUGACAUCGUUGGUGAUGUCCACCGUCGUGAACAUGUAGUGGGGGUUGUUGACAAACCUGGCGAAACACUCGCAAGGCCUUGUGGCCAGGUAGUAGUGGUAGACGAGGAUGUGGUGGCGCACGCACAUUUGGGCAACGACGACCUUGGGACGAGACCUGGACGAGUGCGGGUGUGCUCGAGGUCGAACCCGACCACCUUGUACUUCUCAUCGGCAAGCAACAACACCAUGAUGCAGAUGGAGUGCUCCACCCAGACAUGGUUGUUGGUGUACACCACCGAGAGCUCCGUGAAUCUUCGGUGGGUGUCCACCAUGGCAUGCAUGGUGAACUACUGCUCGUCAUCAGUAGGCGCUCGGAGCGUCAUUGGAGACGUGCAAGAUACUCUCUAAGAAUUUGUCGUGGUGGGUGUGCUUCUUGCAAUGGUGGGGUGCGAUAAAAAGCUUGAAGAGACACAAGGGUUAAAUAGCCACUGUAACAAAUGGGGGCAGCCGGCCUGUAAUCGUCAUGUGUUGUCACGGCGUUCAUAGCGGAGGAUUCCAGUGCAUGCUUGACAACACCGCACCGCAGUGAGGAUUCCAGUGCACGCUUGACAACACCACACCACAGUUUGACCACGCGUGGGCUCGAAGAGGCGCCAAAUGUAUCAUCGAUGAGCCUGUUCCCGCGCUACCACGCAGUUUACUGCGCAAGCUUCCCGCCUGGCUUGGUUUGGUGUGCGUCAGCUAGAAGAUGGACAAAUCGUGGGCGUUUAUUGGCAAAAAGCUUUGUAAAAACAAAGUGUGUGGAAUGACUUCGGUCGUAAGUUUACCCGUGGGUGAUGAGGUCAAAUUUACACAAAAGGGUGAUGAUGGACACUCGAGUGCGAUAAUUAAUUAUGCGGUCUACAUGGAACACGGUGGAAGAAACCAGCUGUGUGCAAUAAUGUCCAAGAUCGUAGUCAAGUUAGCUAUACAGAUCGUGUGCUGUGAGAUUGACAAGGUAAACAGAUUCAAGAAUGGUUAAUAAAAUCAAAUCUAAGACCAUUGCAUAUUAAGGUCAAAAUAGUUCUACCAAUAUACGAGUCUCAUACAAUGCCAUUUCAACGAUUGUAUCACAAAGGCUCGAAAUAUUACAAGGUUCAAAUUUGAAAGUUAUAUGGCUCAAACUAGAAGAUUACACGUUUCAAACUGAUAUUAGAAAUGAAAUUCAGCUCAUCAGCUGCAAACGCUCGCGCUGAUCGACUGAACAUGGAUAUCAGAGAGGUUCAAACUAGUAUUAUCACUUCUAAGUCUGGUUUCGAAACCUCACAACUUUUGCAAAGGGGCCAGCCACUGAGAAGUCAUGUAUGGGGUUGACACGAUGAGUUCCGAUUACUCUGUCAUCUGAAGUUCCAAAAUGAAAUUCAGCAUUUUUGAGCCUAUUCCAUUCUGCUGCAGGCGCCGACGCUGAUCAACAAACCAUUCAUUUUUCCGAAAUAAAUGUAGAGCAAACCUCAUUACCUUCAUCACCCUUUCUCUGACAACAAAGAACCUGGCGAAUAUAAUCUCCGGUAAGGUCCCUCAGUAGGAGUUCAAAGUAAUUUCUGAGAGAUGCAGAUCUAGGCAUUCGACUUGAGUAUCACAUUAUCCACCACUGGGCCUAAUCUUAUCUGCAAAAGAAGAAAACGUGUUAGUGCCUAGAUGCAAUUUUGAACACUACUACAGGCCUAUUUGGUUUGCAGGAUUUUUAAAAUGCACUAGCAUGCCAUUUCGAUCUAACAUGAUUAACAUGGGCAUUAACAUGCCAUCUUCGAUCUUCACAAGAUGUUGGAGUGGAUAAAAAGUUCCCUAAGAAAACUAGUACAGAUGAAUCCAAAGGAGAAAUGCAUAUGGAUUGUAACCAUAUGGAUCAAGCAUUGUCGUUGUAAACUUGGAAAAGGAGACAUGUAUGUACUGAAGUCCUCCAAAAGAAUCCUUCAGAAAUCAUAGUACAUUGUCAUUGUAAACUUGGAAAAAGGUGUCACAAAUUGAACUCCCUUAUGGUUAACAUUUAACAAAAAAGGAACAUCACCUCGAUGUAUAGCUUCUCCAGGCACGGAAAGCAUCUCAGGAAAGUGACAACUUGCUCCAGGUUGGGGCCGAUUGAUUCUAGUGCCAAGACCUUCACUGUGCGUAGUUUCGCGAUUAGGCUUGUCAGAACCAUUUUCUGAAUGAUAGACGAACAAACAUCUUCAAAAUUAGAAAUAAUGUUAAUUUGUGGAAGGAGAGGUAGAAGGCGGCUGUUGUACCUGAACGGGUGUGGAUCCAAUAAGAAGUUCGGAGUAUUUGUCAGAUGAGUAGCCCAGCACUGUCAAUUUCGGUGUAGAAAUGACACUGAUUCUUGUUGGACCUACUUGAUCAAGUACAAGUAAUCUCUCAAGUGUAGGUGUGUCCUCAAUGACCAUACCGUGGUACACAUCUUGUGAUGUCUUCCUGCCGAACCAGCAACACACAUAAAUAGUCCGGAGAGUCAUGGAGGUGAUGUGGAAUGUACUCAACCCAUUGAUCGCCUGAAGACAAAGGUACUCGAGUGCAGUACAGCCAUGGAGCAGGCUCUCCAUGUCACCAUUUGAGAGGCAGACGGCGACGAGCUCGAGGUGAUUCAGUUGUGGUAGAAUAAGAACAGGCGCGUCAUUAAGGGGGGAUGGUAGUUCUUGAAAUUGGUGACGCGCAGCAUGGGUGCGAGGCGGAGCGCGGAUGUUGGCAGCGAGCGCAGAUGGACAUCAUCAAAAGUGAGCUCCUCAAACUUAUCUAGAGCGGGGGAUCCGAACCAGUCGUCAAGCUUGGCUCGGUCCCUGCCAUUGGAACGGAACUUACCCAUUCUAAGGCCUCUAGUUGGGCCAGGGUGACUGCCGAGGAUCUUGGAGAAUGCAUCCAAGCUUUUGCGAUAGCCAUGGUAGAGCUCGUGGGUGUCGAUGACGUCGAGAGGGGUGAAGUUCCAUAGGGGGCGCCACCACCGGGAAAGGAUGGUUGUCCGUGCUCCACAUUUGAUUGGGAGGAGGGAGAUGAUGACUGUGAACAUAUCAUCGGGGAGGCUGCUGAUGAAGUCUAUGCUUGCUGGAGUCGCUUGCGGUUCUAGCUCGCCCCGCCUCCGCUUGUUGGCAGCCCCGUUCUCCACCUCUGGAGUCUCCUUGUCAGUGGCGCUUUCUGAUAGAAAUGAGUGUACAGGGAACAUUUAGUUAAAACAGAGCAAUAGAAAAGUGUAUUGGUAACUAGAAGUUAUUAGGUAGGAAUAUAGUAAGAAAAGGGAAUAACAAUUGGUUGCUUAAAUACUACACAAUUCAUUUAACAUUGCUGGGUAAGUCAACAUGCAGAUAGUUAAAAAGAAAACUUACUUCAAACAAAGUCAGGACGUAUGAUUUUGUCGGGGAAGUUAGCAUAUCUCAUGACCAGGCCCUUUUAUGUGCAGUCCAAUUUUAGUGCCAGCUUUCAGUACAUAAAACUUAGAAAUUUAUUUCCAAAAGCCAGCGCCAAAAUAGGAGUCACCACAUUCAUCAAGUCUUACAGUAGCAACGAUUGUAAAUCCAUGGUUUGUGUGCAGUAUGACAUCCGUGCAGCCUUGAUCUAUGUAAAGGGAAAAAUUGUGCACUACAUAGUUUAUUGCAUAGCACGGGAUGCACUGCAGAAAAUGGUAGGAUUGUUAAAGAAAAUAUGGUAACAUGCAAAUAUGGGCCCAAAUUGAAAGAACUGCACAUCAGUUGAAAUCGAAGGACAAAAAUCUAUAAUUAAACAGAUAGGGUAAACAUGAUGUCAUGGAAAUAUGAGAGUAAUCGAAAGAACAAUACAUCAUUAAUUUGCCUAAUAUAGAAAGAAGAGGGGGAAAAUCCCCUUUGACGUAUAUGAUGCAUGUGGCACCUUUUAUCCAAAUGUAACAUAUUUAGAAUAUCUUCAGGAAAGUAGGCCAUGCCAACCAAUUUAGGGUGAGAAUGAACAUACCGCGCACAUCCUCAAGUCUACUGGUACGGUGAGAUGGAAUCUCUGGCGGAGGUCGCAAGGUCCUGAUGUGUCGGCGCACUGUACACUCUAUGAAUGAAAUAAAACCCUCAAAUCAGCUCGGAUAAAAAUGAAUUCACGGCAAUUUCCGCCGGCUGUUUAAAGGAGGCAGAUGAACUAGGAUGAGAGAUGAGAUAAUAUCUCAUUAAAUUAGUUACCUUGUAUUCCAUGAGAAAAAAACCUCAGUAUGGCAGAUUCCCCAACCAAGCGAAGUUGGGUCGACCACCAGCAGCAUCGAGAAAGUCGAUGGUGAUAGGCGGCGGCUAGCGGAAGUGGUGAAAUACGGUGCGGUUUGCCGGCAGCCUGGCGGCGGCAGGCAUCAAGCUAAGUGGUUACCGCAGCGAUAGGCAGUGCCAUGCAUAGACGUGGAGGAGCUUGUGCAGGUGUGAAUUGGGACCAGAGGCAUGGGGUGGCGGGCGGGGGUGAGGGUUUUUGUGAUGUGGGGAUGGCGAGGGUUUUCUUUUUUCUUUUUUGAAUUGGGUGGUGAGGGUUUUCUGUCCCACAAAGAAUUUCGGAGGCAAUGGUUUGCUAGAGCCAACCAUGUGUGAUUGACACGACAAGCAAAACGAAAGUCAUUACACACGGUUCCAAUUUUGGGAACCGUGUGUGAUUGAACCAGCAGGCAAAACGAAAGUCAUUGCACACCGUUUCAAUUUUGGGAACCGUGUGUGAUUGGCGUACUACCUCCGUCCUGGUUUAUUGGUCCCUUUUGUAAUUUGUACCAAAUUCCGACCAAAUAUUUGACAAAGAAAUGUUUAUGCAUGUCACCAAAAAUUAUAUCAUUGAACACUAUGUUCAAAUACGCAUCCAACGAUAUAAUUUUUGCUGACCUACACUAACAUUUUGUCAGUUAAAUCUUUGGUCAACAUUUAACACAAAUUACAAAGGGGACCAAUAAACGAGGACGAAGGUAGAUUCCAUCAACCGAACUGAUUGCAUCCAUAUCCCAUAGUUAGACAUAUGUAAACAUAGAUUAAACAUACUCAGACAUAGAUAAUACGCGUACACGUACACUGGCAUAGUUCAACCGUCAUUAAGCAUGCUCAAGCGUACAUAGUUCAAUCCCACAUCUCAUCUCACAUGCCGGCACGAUCCUGAAGCUUCUCCAGGUACUCGGCAUACGCGUCGUGCGCCACCCUGCAUGAAUACUUCUGCUUGAAGGAGCUAACAGCCCGUCCUCUUGCAUGCGCCAGAACACUUUGAUACGCAUCAUGAAGCUUGUGGUUACAAAAUGGGCAUCGAUAGCCGCCGUCCCAGGUCCUAAUACGCCUGUUAUGCAUUCCUGCAUAAAGCUCCCUUGGGAUUUUCCUCUUGUUCCUCCUCUGGACAUCUUCAUCCUCGCUGUUCAGAUCGUUAGACAACACCUAUACAAAUAGUAAAAAAAAUGUGGCGUCAAAUUAAUGGUUACAAACUAAUCUCUAGCGAACAUUUGGCAGUUGCCAAAAAUUGGCAUCAAAUCAACUAUUACAUGCCAUGAAGUAGGAUUAGGAAUUUAUGGCUAUUUAUUUAUACAUAUCCAGAGAUCAUGGUUUGAUUUUUAAGCACAUUCAUCUAUGUACAGACCAAUAUUGAAGAAAAUAAUGGCACAAACAUAUGUAGGUCAUUCAACAUCAAUUUUCAAGUCCUGGCUAGGAAUUAUUAGCAUGAACACUAACCCUAGUCGGAUUACUAGCAAAAAUCAUUUCCACAGAUGAAACAACUAAUCACUUAUCACUUGUACCAUUCAAACAAUCAAUACACUACAUGGAUCUAACGAAACUUACUUAGAUUUCAUGGAUUGGGAGAACAUAACCAUAGGAUUUCUAUUCCAAAAAGGGGGAGGCGGGAGGAACCAGAGAAACCCUGGGAUCUAUUUGACACAUAAAUGGGUAUAGAUGACUAACCAGUUGUCCGUCGCCGUCGGAGUCGUCGCCCGAGUCGUCACCAAAGUCGGUGUGGAACUUCGCCUCCAGCUGUGGAAGCUCGAUGCCGUCGACGAUGUCAGGUUGCAGCACUAAUUCGCCGGCGGUGAUGGCAACCUCUGUCUCCAUCUCCACGCCAUGCUCCGGUGCUUUAGCAGCCCCGGCGUCAUCACUCCCUCCGAUGGGGCACUUCGGCGGCAUCCUCAUACACCGACGGCUCUGAUGACUGAGAGCGGCGUCGAGGAUGCAAGCGGAGAGAGGGGAUUGUGUGUGUGGCGAGGAUGGGAGGUGUGGCCGCUCAGGCGCACCAUUAAUAUGGGAGAGCUCUUAAUAUGGAGUAGUGGGACAGAGGCGGGCAGUGGUCAAACUGCUGGCUCGCCUCCCGGUGAGCCUGCGCACCGGACUGCUGGCAUGCCUACCGUCAUUUCACAUAGCUACUCGCAUGCCUCCCGAUGAUGCUGCGCAGCGAGCACGCCUCCGUCAAUUCACACACCUGCACACAUGCCUCCCGGUCUGCCUGCACGGCGGACUGCUCGCAUGUGUCCCGUCAACUCACGCCUGCUUGCACGGUACACGGGUCACGUGGCGGCACGUAUAUUGUUUUUCUAUUUGGAUGAUUAAUGAUGCCGCUUUAUUUUUUGCUUAACCGAAGCAUGACACGUAUCCAUUAUUGGUCUAACACUCACGGUUCAAAUAAAUAGUCAAUUUGGGAUAUUGGUUCCCAAUUAUUAAUAACCUCCCGUUUGUAAUUAGAUAAAGAUUACAUCAAAACUGGUCUCAAAUUUGACCAAAAGAAGUACAAUGCAACUUUGUAUUGGUGUCCAUAUGACAACACGAUAAGUUUCAUGAAUUUUAAAUAAGUUUUGGAUGUACUAGAAUUUAAAAAUCAAGAUUCUCAUUCUUUAAAAUUUGUUGCACGGGGAGUAAACAUGCACCCAGCGAGACACAUGUGUUUUUGCAAUCCAUUUAGGUGGAUUGUCACGUGUGCAUGUAGCUCGAAUUUGAUUUUUGCACAUUAUACCCAUAGAAAAUCAAUCAAUUAAUGUACUAAAACAUCUUAAUGAUCUCUGAUUUUUUUCAAAAUUAAAACGUCUCUCCUUUGGUAACAUAUAUAUGUUCAUCGCGAGAUAAUUAAUUUAACAUCCAUCGUAGUUGCGGUGGAUUCGUGGUGUGUGUGUGGGUGUGUGCGUCUGGGGGUGGCUAGUGGCUCGCAGUACACUACGAGUUGUGAGCCACCAUGUGGGUUGGCCAUUUUGUUAGGCAGGUCGGUGCUACAUCAGAGUCGUGAAUUCGUAAUUUAAAACAUUGCACAACCCUUUCAUACAUACAUGUUUUGGCCACAUGCAGUCAAUGGUUGUCCUACACGACACUCGAUACUCGCCUAUGACGCUUUCUGUGGGCCUGCGAGGUCGUCGUCCAUCAUUUUGAUGAACAGCCGGUAGUAAGGUUAAUUUGACCAGUAAGGUAAAAUCUUUUUUGUUUCUGUUAUGGUGGUAUAUAGUACGGGUCAAACAGGUGGGAGGGGACAUUCUUUGCAGAAUAAUUAUUCUGCACACCACUUCCGCACUGCACGCUGAACGCAAGUGCACGCCAUUCUUUGAACCAAGUGUGCUGCAGUACUCACACGAGUGAACUUCUCGUCGAAAAAAACUGCACGCGUUAUUUUUUCAGUACUGUUUUCGCUCUAAUUUUUUAACCGUUUAUCGGAAUGAGACGUGUAAUAUACCGUUGAAAAGCUAUGAAUUAGGCGCAACUUUGACAUGUUGAACACUUUUCAAGAUUACACACGGUUUAAGAGCAGUUUUGAAAUUCGCGCGUCCUAUGACGAGUGGCAGCGAGUGUUUUUUGGUGAUUUCUUCUAAACCGCUCAUCAGAAUGAAGCAAACGAUACGCCGUUGGAUAGAUAUCGUCGAGGCGCUUCUUUUUCAUAUAUAGAUUUUUCUCUAAUUCGUUACGGUUUAAGAGCAGUUUCAAAUUUACAAAAUCACGGAACUCUGUUUUUCAAUUUUUUUUGAAAUUUUCGGUACUGUUUUUGCUCCAGUUUUUGAACCGUUUGUCGAAACGAAGCGUGUGAUAUGCCGUUGGAAAGCUACAAAUGAAGCGCAACUUUCAUAUGUUGAAAUAUAUUUGAGAUUCCAUACGGUUUUAAGUUAAUUUUGAAAAUCAUGUGGCGGAUGACGAGUGGCAGCGGCUGUUUUUCGCAAAAGUUUUGCAAACCGCUGGUCGGAAUGAUUCAAACGAUACGCCGUUGGAAAGAUAUCAACGAGACGCAACUCUUUCAUGUAGAACACUUUCUCUAAUUCUUUACGGUUUAAGAGGAAUUAUGAAUUUACCGAAAUGCGGACAUUGUUUUUUGCGACACCCAAAUCAACCUGGGUACUUCAUCCGACUGAAAACCGCACUGCAACGGAUGAAAAACCGCACUGCAUCAGACGGGUAAGAGAACUGUAUGGUUUAUUUUAUUCAAACGUAAUAUUUUCAAGGACGAGAAAGUAGAGUGCACUUCACGUCGGGUGUAAGUGAACCGCAACACUAUCGAGAAGUGAACCGCAUUAUUUAUUUUUUGUCAUUCUCGGAACAAUUUUUGCACUUCAGAUUUUGAGAGUAGUGAACCGCAAGACUACCAAAAGUGAAUGGCGACACUACCCAAAAGUGAACCGAAUGAGUUUUUGUUGUCCUUCUAAAAAACUCAUUGAACGAGAAUGGACCACAGAAACUAUUUUUAAGUGCAUUUUUUUCAACUGGAGUGUACUGCAGAGUUAUUUAUAGUGGACUUUUUUAAAACUGGAGUGAUGUGCAUUUCCUUUUUUUAUGAAGGAGGAAACGAGGGGACUACAUUAAGCAAAAUUAUGGUGUACUCAAUGCUCUCGAAGGGGACUGCGUUAAAUUAAUUUUUUGCUUUUUUAUACAACAUGUGGCAAUAUAGUGAACUUCUCACAUAGAGUGAGUUUUACAUGGGCAAAGAAGUGAACCCCAUGGUCGAGAAAAAUAUAGCGCAACACUAGUAGUAAACUGCACUAUUUUUUGCUGCUCCCUAGUUUUGUAUUUCCACUUUUUCAUUUGACGGUCUGAACUCCCAUGAUAAGGCAAGCGAACCACACUUUUUUCUUCUACAACAACAUAGUAAACUUCACAAACAACAAUUCUCCAGCCUUUUUCUUUUUUAACAGUGAGAAACAAAAUUAAUGAAGUGAAGGGCCCGUGAGCCACUAGUAAUGGACUGCAUUAGACAUUUUAUCAAUUUUCUUUUUUCACUGGACCCCUAGUGUUUCAUGGAGUGCACUGCUUUUUCUUUCCCGGCAAAUAUAAGAAUCUCUACGGAGAAUACAUAGACCAAAGAACUACACGGGCCAGUGGGGCGAACCAUACGGAAAUCCAGAUAUUUUUACAAUUAGGGCCAUGUGAAUUUAGCAGGAUCACCCUCCAAAUGAUAAGUGAAAUUACAAUGUAACCCUGCAAUUUUGUUAUUCCUCCACCAAAACUGCAAGCGAGCACCAGCUGUACUCCAUUCCAUGCCGCCACACUACGAGGUUACAAUUUGAUCUCUGUAAAUUAGAGCACACUUAGCAUUCAGAAACAAGAUAUACAUGUAGAUACUAAACCUUUCUUUCUCUUUUCGAUGAUCUUUUCAUCUCCUGCAAAAAAAUAGCAAACUGAACCUCUAAACAGGAAUAUCAAACUGUUGAACCGCAAGAAUAGGAAUAGCAAACUGCGGUUUGUUGGAUUUUUUCCUCCCAAAAAUCAGAAGUGAACUGCAAGAACAAGCUCACCUAUCGCGUGUUUUGCUGGCAGCAAAGUAAGAGGCUAGAGGGGAGGGACAUGCAAAGGGAGAUGUGGUGGUUCUAUGGCCAACUCAGACGGCGUGCAUGGUCAACAGCCAUGGGAGGGGGGCAGAGGAGGCAGACCUGUGUGGCCCCGACC
rnacentral:lncRNA from 1 species